rnacentral:ncRNA from 12 species
GGGUGCGGCGAUGCGCGCCGCAGGACCACGGAUGGUCGGGCCGCCAUCC